AGAGUUGGAACAUGUAUUUUGAUAAGUAAAGUAAUUAGAAUAUAUGGCUUCAUUGAGAAUAAAGAAGAACCUUGCAUAUACAAAUGGGUUAAUCAUUCUGUAGUUGUAUUUUUUAUUUUAUAUAUGGAUGAAAUUUUCUUAAUCGAGAAUGACAUCUCUUACAUUAUAGAAAAUAAAAGUUUGGCUGUCAUCAUUGUUCCCCAUGAACGACUUGAGAAAAGCAUCCUAC
rnacentral:lncRNA from 1 species